rnacentral:misc_RNA from 1 species
AAGUCGUAACAAGGUUUCCGUAGGUGAACCUGCGGAAGGAUCAUUACACUCAGUAGUUUACUACUGUUAAAGAGGCUGUUAGUCUGUAUAGCUUUACCGCUGAUGAGCAGCUGGCCUCUUUUCUCCACCCUUGUCUUUUGCGCACCCAUGUUUCCUCGGCAGGCUUGCCUGCCGGUUGGACAAUACAAUAACCUUUUUAAUUUUCAAUCAGCGUCUGAAAAAAACUUAAUAAUUACAACUUUCAACAACGGAUCUCUUGGUUCUG